rnacentral:rRNA from 1 species
CUAUACAUGCAAGUCGUACGCUUCUUUUUCCACCGGAGCUUGCUCCACCGGAAAAAGAAGAGUGGCGAACGGGUGAGUAACACGUGGGUAACCUGCCCAUCAGAAGGGGAUAACACUUGGAAACAGGUGCUAAUACCGUAUAACAAUCGAAACCGCAUGGUUUUGAUUUGAAAGGCGCUUUCGGGUGUCGCUGAUGGAUGGACCCGCGGUGCAUUAGCUAGUUGGUGAGGUAACGGCUCACCAAGGCCACGAUGCAUAGCCGACCUGAGAGGGUGAUCGGCCACAUUGGGACUGAGACACGGCCCAAACUCCUACGGGAGGCAGCAGUAGGGAAUCUUCGGCAAUGGACGAAAGUCUGACCGAGCAACGCCGCGUGAGUGAAGAAGGUUUUCGGAUCGUAAAACUCUGUUGUUAGAGAAGAACAAGGAUGAGAGUAACUGUUCAUCCCUUGACGGUAUCUAACCAGAAAGCCACGGCUAACUACGUGCCAGCAGCCGCGGUAAUACGUAGGUGGCAAGCGUUGUCCGGAUUUAUUGGGCGUAAAGCGAGCGCAGGCGGUUUCUUAAGUCUGAUGUGAAAGCCCCCGGCUCAACCGGGGAGGGUCAUUGGAAACUGGGAGACUUGAGUGCAGAAGAGGAGAGUGGAAUUCCAUGUGUAGCGGUGAAAUGCGUAGAUAUAUGGAGGAACACCAGUGGCGAAGGCGGCUCUCUGGUCUGUAACUGACGCUGAGGCUCGAAAGCGUGGGGAGCAAACAGGAUUAGAUACCCUGGUAGUCCACGCCGUAAACGAUGAGUGCUAAGUGUUGGAGGGUUUCCGCCCUUCAGUGCUGCAGCUAACGCAUUAAGCACUCCGCCUGGGGAGUAGGACCGCAAGGUUGAAACUCAAAGGAAUUGACGGGGGCCCGCACAAGCGGUGGAGCAUGUGGUUUAAUUCGAAGCAACGCGAAGAACCUUACGCASGUCUUGACAUCCUUUGACCACUCUAGAGAUAGAGCUUC